GCUAAACAGCUAGCUCAACCAUCACAACUAACAAUACAAUAUAACUAACCCUACUAAACCCAACCUAAUAAAUUAAAACAUUUUCCCGUCCCAGUAUGGGCGACAAAAAAGACACUCCUGAAGCAAUAGAAAAAGUACCGCAAGGGAAAGCUGAAAAAGAAGUGAAAUAAUUCAUAUAAGCACAAAAAAGCAGAGAUUCAACCCCGUACCUUUUGCAUCAUGAUUUAGCUAGAACCUCUGAGCAAAAAGAUUUUUAGUUCAUACCCCCGAAACCAAGUGAGCUACCCCGAGACAGCCUAUUGCAGGGCCAACCCGUCUCUGUAGCAAAAGAGUGGGAAGAUCUCCGGGUAGCGGUGAUAAACCUAUCGAACUUGGUGAUAGCUGGUAGUCUAGGAAAUGGAUAGAAGUUCAGCCUCGUAUUUCCCCUCCCCAAAGCAUUACUGCACUAUGAGACAGAGUAAUAUAUGAGAGUUAGUCAAAGGGGGUACAGCCCCUUUGAAUUAGGACACAACCUGUUCAGGAGGUUAAGGAUCAUACUCAACAAAAUAACUGCUUUAGUAGGCCUAGAAGCAGCCACCCAACCAGAAAGCGUUAAAGCUCAUGCAGACCUAAAAAUUUAUUAUCCUGAUAAUAUUAUCCUAAACCCCUAUCACUGUACUAGACCAUUCCAUGCACACAUGGAAGAGAUACUGCUAAAAUGAGUAACAAGAAGAAAACCUCUUCUCCCUUGCCUAUGUGUAAGUUAGAUCGGACCAACCACUAACAAUUAACGAACCCAACCCAAGAGGGAAUUGUGUCCAAAUUAAAAACCAAGAAAAAUCCACAUCACCCAAUCGUUAACCCAACACCGGAAAGCAACAAGGAAAGACUAAAAGAGAAAGAAGGAACUCGGCAAAUCCAAGCCUCGCCUGUUUACCAAAAACAUCGCCUCCCGCAAAAACCGAAGUAUAGGAGGUCCUACCUGCCCAGUGACUAUUUGUUUAACGGCCGCGGUAUCUUGACCGUGCUAAGGUAGCGAAAUCACUUGUCUUUUAAAUAAGGACCUGUAUGAAUGGUGGAACGAGGGCUUAACUGUCUCCUUUUUCAAGUCAGUGAAAUUGAUCUGCCCGUGCAGAAGCGGACAUAAAUAUACAAGACGAGAAGACCCUUUGGAGCUUAAGACAUACAGUCAACUGUGUUAAAAGUUCUACUCAAAAAAAUUAAACUAAACAAUAACUGACUUUGCGUCUUCGGUUGGGGCGACCGCGGGGGAAAACAAAGCCCCCACGUAGAAUGGGACAACUCCCUAAAACCAAGAGAAACAUCUCUAAGUCACAGAACCUCUGACUAAAAGAUCCGGCACACGCCGAUCAACGAACCAAGUUACCCUAGGGAUAACAGCGCAAUCCCCUCCAAGAGCCCGUAUCAACAAGGGGGUUUACGACCUCGAUGUUGGAUCAGGACAUCCUAAUGGUGCAGCCGCUAUUAAGGGUUCGUUUGUUCAACGAUUAAAGUCCUACGUGAUCUGAGUUCAGACCGGAGCAAUCCAGGUCAGUUUCUAUCUGUACAGCUAUUUUUCCUAGUACGAAAGGACCGGAAAAAUAAGGCCUAUGUCACAAACACGCCUUAUUAUAACUUGAUGAAACCAACUCAACCAAACAAAGCAAGCAUCACCUUCCCCGAGAUAAGGGAUU
rnacentral:rRNA from 1 species